rnacentral:tRNA from 1 species
GGGUCGUAGCUCAAUGGGAGAGCGUCGCGCUGGCAGUGCGAAGGCUGUGGGUUCAAUCCCCAUCGACUCCA